ACUGAAUAGAUACCCAGGUAGUCCACGCUGUAAACGAUGAUUACUCGAUGUUGGCGAUACACAGUCAGCGUCUGAGCGAAAGCAAUAAGUAAUUCACCUGGGGAGUACGAUCGCAAGAUUGAAACUCAAAGGAAUUGACGGGGCCCGGCCACAAGCGGAGGAGCAUGUGGUUUAAUUUCGAUGAUACGCGAGGAACCGUUAACCCUUGGGCGUCGAACGUAAGAUGACUGUAGGUGAAAGACUUACAUCUCUUCGGUAGCAUUUUACGUAGGUGCUGCAUGGUUGUCGUCAGCUCGUGCCGUGAGGUGUCGGGUUUAAGUCCCAUAACGAGCGCAACCCCUACCCUUUAGUUGUCCAACAGGUCAUGCUGGGGACGUCUAAAGGAACUGCCUACGCAAGUAGUGAGGAAGGCGGGGUAGUGACGUCAAAUCAGCACGGCCCUUACGUCCAGGGCUACACACGUGCUACAAUGGCCGAUACAGAGGGCAGCUACCUGGUGACAGGAUGCAAAUCUCCAAACGUCGGUCUCAGUUC
rnacentral:rRNA from 1 species